rnacentral:rRNA from 1 species
GAUAAACGCUGGCGGCGUGCCUAACACAUGCAAGUCGAACGCCCUUUUGCGCAAGUGAGAGGGAGUGGCGGACGGGUGAGUGCCACGUGGGUACCUACCUUGAGGUGAGGAAUACCACCGAGAAAUCGGUGACAAGACCGCAUACGCUCGGGCAACCGAGCAAAGUCAUGCAAAUGACGCCACAAGAUGAGCCUGCGCCUGAUUAGCUGGUUGGUGAGGAACAGCUCACCAAGGCGACGAUCAGUAGCUGGUCUGAGAGGAUGAUCAGCCACACU